rnacentral:rRNA from 1 species
GAUGAACGCUAGCGGCAGGCCUAACACAUGCAAGUCGAACGGUAACAUUGGUUGCUUGCAACCAGAUGACGAGUGGCGCACGGGUGCGUAACGCGUAUACAAUCUGCCUUUUACAGGGGGAUAGCCUUUGGAAACGAAGAUUAAUACCCCAUGGCAUAUAAUGGUGGCAUCGCCAUUGUAUUAAAGUUUCGGCGGUAAGAGAUGAGUAUGCGUUCUAUUAGCUAGAUGGUGCGGUAACGGCGCACCAUGGCGACGAUAGAUAGGGGCCCUGAGAGGGGGAUCCCCCACACUGGUACUGAGACACGGACCAGACUCCUACGGGAGGCAGCAGUGAGGAAUAUUGGACAAUGGGCGAAGCCUGAUCCAGCCAUGCCGCGUGCAGGAAGACUG